CGAGGAAACUUGUGCUAAUACCGGAUAAGUCUUUACGGAGAAAGCUUUAUGCACCAUUGGAUGAGCCUGCACUUGAUUAGUUUGUUGGUGGGGUAAUGGCCUACCAAGACUGUGAUCAAUAGCUGAUUUGAGAGGAUGAUCAGCCACAUUGGGACUGAGACACGGCCCAAACUCCUACGGGAGGCAGCAGUGGGGAAUCUUGCACAAUGGAGGAAACUCUGAUGCAGCGAUGCCGCGUGAGUGAAGAAGGCCCUUGGGUUGUAAAGCUCUUUCGUCGGGGAAGAAAAUGACUGUACCCGAAUAAGAAGGUCCGGCUAACUUCGUGCCAGCAGCCGCGGUAAUACGAAGGGACCUAGCGUAGUUCGGAAUUACUGGGCUUAAAGAGUUCGUAGGUGGUUGAAAAAGUUAGUGGUGAAAUCCCAGAGCUUAACUCUGGAACUGCCAUUAAAACUUUUCAGCUAGAGUAUGAUAGAGGAAAGCAGAAUUUCUAGUGUAGAGGUGAAAUUCGUAGAUAUUAGAAAGAAUACCAAUUGCGAAGGCAGCUUUCUGGAUCAUUACUGACACUGAGGAACGAAAGCAUGGGUAGCGAAGAGGAUUAGAUACCCUCGUAGUCCAUGCCGUAAACGAUGUGUGUUAGACGUUGGAAAUUUAUUUUCAGUGUCGCAGGGAAACCGAUAAACACACCGCCUGGGGAGUACGACCGCAAGGUUAAAACUCAAAUGAAUUGACGGGGACCCGCACAAGUAGUGGAGCAUGUGGUUUAAUUCGAAGAUACGCGCAGAACCUUACCAACACUUGACAUGUUCGUCGCGACUCUA
rnacentral:rRNA from 1 species